UUUGGGGAGUUCUCAAAGCAGGUGGGAAUUACUCCUGUUGAAGAGGGCUCUACACCCUCUUCAUCACCAUUGUGGAUAGCAUGGCCAGCCCCAGAAGACCCAUCCCCAAGGCACAAAGAGCAGAAACCUAUGGCCUGUCUGAAAUAAUGAUAACUUUCACAUGUGCCAAGCAGCACUGCCGUUCCAUCCUUCUGGGAGGUGUGCAAACAUGACCGUGCUUCCUGCUUCCCAGCAGUUCAUAGUCCAGAUGCAACCCCCCCUUGUAAUUCGAUGUGCAGAGAGACUGCAAUGGAAGAUGUGGCAGGAAUUCCUCUUCCAGUUGACAUAAACCAGUAUUUUAACCAUGCCUUUUAUGUCCCAAUGAUCUAGCAUGAUUACUGUCAGUAUGGCUGAUAUAUCCCCAUGAAGCUCUCAUAAGGAUAUUGACCGCUGUACUUAAGGCCAAGUGAAUGACCGCAGAGAACCUCUGCUAAGUGUCCCAUCAACAUUUGUCUGUCCUGGGUAAGUUCAGUAAGCAUAUUUACUUGGA